rnacentral:rRNA from 1 species
UACGUAGGGUGCAAGCGUUGUCCGGAAUUAUUGGGCGUAAAGAGCUUGUAGGUGGUUUGUCGCGUCUGCUGUGAAAUUUCGGGGCUCAACCCCGAACUUGCAGUGGGUACGGGCAGACUAGAGUGUGGUAGGGGAGACUGGAAUUCCUGGUGUAGCGGUGAAAUGCGCAGAUAUCAGGAGGAACACCGAUGGCGAAGGCAGGUCUCUGGGCCACUACUGACGCUGAGAAGCGAAAGCAUGGGGAGCGAACAGG